rnacentral:rRNA from 1 species
UCAGGAUGAACGCUAGCGGCAGGCCUAACACAUGCAAGUCGAGGGGCAGCAGGGAGUAGCAAUACUCCGCUGGGCGACCGGCGCGACGGGUGCGUAACGCGUAUGCAACCCACCCGCAACAGGGGCAUAACGGAGGAAACUUCCACUAAUUCCCCGUAUUGUCGUCUUCUCGCAUGGGUGGACGACGAAAGCUUCGGCGGUUGCGGACGGGCAUGCGUGGCAUUAGGUAGUUGGCGGGGCAACGGCCCACCAAGCCAUCGAUGCCUAGGGGAGCUGAGAGGCUAAUCCCCCCACACUGGUACUGAGACACGGACCAGACUCCUACGGGAGGCAGCAGUGAGGAAUAUUGGUCAAUGGUCGGAAGACUGAACCAGCCAUGCCGCGUGGAGGAAGAAGGCCCUAUGGGUCGUAAACUUCUUUUGCCGCAGGGUAAACCUCGGGGUGCGCCCCGAGCUGAGAGUAUGCGGCGAAUAAGCAUCGGCUAACUCCGUGCCAGCCGCCGC